UGCGACAACUCGAUGGGACGUAUCAAGUAGGGCGGGACACGUGCAAUCCUGUCUGAAGAUCGGGGGACCACCCUCGAAGGCUAAGUACUCCUUGCUGACCGAUAGCGAACAAGUACCGUGAGGGAAAGGUGAAAAGCACCCCGACAAGGGGAGUGAAACAGUUCCUGAAACCGGACGCCUACAAACAGUCGGAGCCCACAGGAUGGGUGACGGCGUACCUUUUGUAUAAUGGGUCAACGACUUGGUCUCACGAGCAAGCUUAAGCCGUUAGGUGGAGGCGCAGCGAAAGCGAGUCUGAAUAGGGCGUCGCAGUUCGUGGGAUCAGACCCGAAACCGAGUGAUCUAGGCAUGUCCAGGAUGAAGGUGCAGUAACAUGCACUGGAGGUCCGAACCCACACCUGUUGAAAAAGGUCGGGAUGAGGUGUGCCUAGGGGUGAAAGG
rnacentral:rRNA from 1 species